GCUUACGGCCAUACCACCUUAGGCACGCCCGAUCUCGUCUGAUCUAGGAAGCUAAGCAGGGUCGGGCCUUGUUAGUACUUGGAUGGGUGACCGCCUGGGAAUACCAGGUGCUGUAAGCA
ensembl:rRNA 5S_rRNA 5S ribosomal RNA